rnacentral:lncRNA from 10 species
AGUUCCUAAGGGUAAAGAGGGCUCCGCGCAUGCAGGAAGACCACCCUAAGGGAAGAAUCAUGGGAAAGAGAUGUCACAUGAAAGUCUGUAAAUAUGAACCACACUCUACUGCCCAGUGAUGGAGAAACCUACUGACUGUGGUGCGCAGAUUCCUAAGACGCCCUCAUGGUAUCCAUGUCCGCAUCAUCUCCUCCCCCUUGAGAGUGGGCUGAACCUGUGACUGGCCUCUAACCAACAGGCUAUCGUGAAGGUGAGUACUUUAAAAGAGGGCCUGGAGGAGAGAGACCCUUCCUGCUGUCUUUGAAGCAGCAAGCCUCCAUCAGUUCUGCAGCUACAAGAAAAUGAGUUCUGCCAACAACCAAGUGAGCACUGAAGAGGACCCUGAGCAUCAGAGGACAGCCUAGCCCUGGCCAAUGCCUUCAUUGCAGCACUGUGAGACCCGAACAAAAGAUCCAGCUAAUGCAUGUUCAGAAUUCUGAUUCCAGGAAACUGUGGAAUAAUAAAUGCUCCUAUGUUAAGCUGCUAAGUGUGUGGUAAUGUUUUUACUCAGCAAUAGAAAACUACUGCUGGAUGGGCGCGGUGGCUUGUGCCUGUAAUCCCAGCACUUUGGGAGACCGAGGCACAUGGAUCACUUGAG